GUGAGUACUGAGAGAAGCCUGGGUGUAAGAAUGUAAAUGAGUUUAGAAGGAUGAAUAAGAGGUACUCCCUUCCUUUCUUAACUUGGGAUGAGGAACAGGUGAGGCAGGGGAAAUCAGGAAAAGAAAUAUUGAUGAGGCUGACUGCUUUUCUUAUUCUGAGCAAAGUUCUUUGCUGCCAAAGUGCUAGGGUAGAAUUCAAAGAUGAACAGUGUUUAUUCAUUCAUCCAGCAAAUAACUACCAAUCAGGCAGCCACUGAUGUGUGUUGGUAUACACAGAAUAAGACAGACACAGUCUCUGCUCAAGGAACUCAUUGCUCAUGUAUACCUCUGCAUUUGUUCACACCAUUCCCUUUGCCUGGCCUUCUCUCCAUGUAUUCCAGGGUUUCUCAACUUGGGCACUAUUGGGACAUUUUGGGCUGGAUAAUGCUUUGUUAUGGGGAACUUUCUGCACAUUGUAGGACUUUAAGCAGCAUCAUUGGCUUCUGUCCACUAAAUGCUACCCCCCAUCCCAGGUUGUGACAUCCAAAAAUGCUUCUAGACAUUGCAAAUGUCUCCUGGGGGCCAAUGGAACCACUGACCCAUUUUGAAUUUAUUCAACUUUCAUGUCCUCAUUCAAGUCCCACCUCUUCCAUGAAGCUUGCUUUGGUUAAUUCUGGUCAUGCUAAUUUCUCCUUUCUUUGGUCUCCUGUACCAAUUAUUGCUGCUGCUUUCCAAUUUACUGUGUAAUAAUCCACUCCCUUCUUUUGGUCACUGUUUGGAAGGAAACAGCCUUGAAAAUGGUCCUGGAGAUGUAGAUUUCAUUCAGGCACCAUGGCAAACCUGUUACAUCUCCUAGAAUAAGUUGCUUCCAUUCUGCAUGGAGACCCCAGUUUCCUCAGCUGUCAAAUCAAUUGCAGUGCUACUCAGAAAUUUUCAGCCACAAAUCAUCAAAGAUAUGGAGGGGCCAAUUGCACAGGUUUCUUAAAAUGAAGCAGUUUUUAUUUUUUACACAUUGAGUCUCUGUAUGGUGUUGGGAUGGUAUCAUGGCUGACACAUGUCCGAAACCACUAGAUCAUCUUAAAGGCUUUUCUAACAUUUGAUCAUGAGAUUUCAUUUGUAUUAAAUUAUUUCUCUUAAUUAGGCUGUGAAUGCUUUCAGUGCCUGCUACCUUGGUGAUUUCCAUAGUGCCACCUAGCUCAGUGCUGGCUUCACAAGAAGUUUGGUCAAUAUUUGCUGUUUGAUCAUGUUUUUAAUUCUACAGCCAAAGAUGAUUUUGCUCAGAUGCUGGGUCCUGGCAUUAGGAAUCUCCCUGCAUCAAUUAGGAGUGUUUUUGUUUGCAAAUUAUAGAAAGCCUACCCACAGUAGCUUGAAACAAGAGUGGUUUCUUUUUCUCACAUAAGAGAAAAGCAAUGUUAGGGCUGGUGCCUUGGAGAUUUUCUGGGCCUUUCCUUCAUGCAUGUCUCCUCAUGGUCAUGAAAAGGCUGCUUCAACUCUAUAUGACACAUCUGCAUUCAAGUCUAGGAUCAAUACCAAGAUCAGUGCCCGCCCCAUCUGUCUCUUAUUAGCAAAGCUGAAGCUUUCCCAGAACUCUCCUACCAAACUUUUGAUUACAUCUCCUUGGCCAGAACUGUAUCACAUGACCACUCCAUGAUACAGAGUUUGCAGUUGGAAUCAAAGGCUCUCCAACAAGGAAACAACUAAAUACUUUUUCAAACGUAAUGUUCAACACACAGUAAUAAAUAACCAAGCAAAUGAGGAAUGAAGACAACAUUCAAAGAACAGCACAAACAAGAAGUAACAGAAAGAUAUUCAUGGUCAUUAUUGACAGUGGGAUUACCAGGCACUCUAAAGCAACAUUAUAAUAUACUCAAGAAAACAAAGACCUGGCCGGGUGUGGUGGCUCACGCCUGUAAUCCCAGCACUUUGGGAGGCCGAGGUGGGCGGAUCACCUGAGGUCAGGAGUUCGAGACCAACCUGGUCAGUAUGGUGAAACCCCACCUCUACUAAAAAUACAAAAAUUAGCCAGGUGUGGUGGCAGGCACCUGUAAUCCCAGUUACUCAGGAAGCUGAGGCAGGGGAAUGGAAUCGCUUGAACCCGGGAGGUGAAGCUUGCGGUGAGGAGAGAUUGUGCCAUUGCACUCUAGCCUGGGCAACAGAGCAAGACUCCGUCUCAAAAACAAAAACAAAAACAAACAAAGAAAGUAAAGGCCAAACUUGAAAUUUGUUGGCAAGGAUUGGAAAUUGGAAGCUAUAAAAAGUAAUUGUCCACAUUUGAUAGAGAACCUCUAGAAACACUCUAAUUAAAAAUAUAAUAACCAAAAUCAAGAUCUCAAUGAUGUAUUUAGCAGCAAAUAAAUACAGUUAAUGAAAGAACUAGGAGAAAGGUCAAAAGCAACUAUCCAGACUUAACUCAGGAAAAAGCAUGAAAAUUCAGAGGAGUCAGAGACAUAUGCAGUUUGAUCAGCAUGUAUGCUAAAUGUGUACCUAUUCAAAUGGGAUCCCCAAUGGAGAGAAGAGAGUGAGCAUUUGAAAAGAUAAUGGUUGAGAAUUCCCCCAAACAGAUAAAAAUCCUACGAAUCUCAAGCAGCAUAAAUAAAAUGUACUCAUACCUAGACAUAUCAUAGUCCAAUUUCAGAAGACCAAAAUCAAAGAGAAAAAUUUUAAAAGCAGACAAGUGACAAUAGACAGAAGCAACAAUUAGAAUGCUGGUAAACCAGGUGCAGUGGUGCCUGCCUGUAGUCCAAGCUACUCAAGAGGCUGAGGCGGGUGGGAGGAUUGCUUGAGGCCAGGAGUUCGAGGCUGCAGUGAGCUAUGAUUGCACCUGUGACUAGCCAUGGCACUCCAACCUGGGCAACACUGUGAGACCCUCAUCUCCAAGAACAAAAAGAAUGACAGCAGACUUCUCAAAAAUGAUAACAGAAAUAAGAAAAUAGUAGAAUGAUAUUUUCAAUUUGGCCAAUCUAGAAUUCUACACCUAGUAAAAAUAUUUUUCAGUAAUCAUGGUAAAAUAAAGUCAGUGAAAUAAAAACUGAAAGAAGCUGCCACCAAGAGACCUGCACUAAAGGAAAUUCUGACAGAUAUUCUUUGGGUAAAGAGAAGAUCCCAGAUGAAAGCUUGGAGAUGAAGGAAAAAUUGAAGAGGAAUGAAAAUGGAAACAACACAGGUGUGUUCCUGCAAGACCUCUCUUUCCCUAGGGGAAAACAGAGACAUCUCAUCACAGAUAGCUCUAGGUUUGCCUUGGCCAUGAUGUCCAAGUGGUCUGCUUGGUUCCAUGCCUGCGUCUGAGCUGGCUCUGUGGGAGGUGCCAAGCUGCCUUCGACACUGUGCAUGGCACUUUAAAGCUCUCAAUAAAUAUUUUUCAAGUGAAGUCAAUGAAGCAAGAAAGAAUCUCAACUAGUUUUGAGGUAAUGGUUCAAGAUGACAUUCUUUCUCCCUAAGGCAAUAACUCUCAAAGCAGCGGUGGAGAAAAGCAACCACUUCUUGGCAGGGAGGGGAAUGAUUUUUUUUUUGCUGGGGGUCAGUCAUGGGAAAGGUGGCAAGGGGAGGAAGGUAAAUUUAAUUUGAAAAGUCAUGUCCAGUAUAAUUACUAUGUCAAAGACUGACAGUUUGGUCCUCAAUUUCUAACUAAGCACAUUGCUGCUGAGAAUAAGGACUAUAUUUUCCAAUUAUGUGUGGCCAUGUGAUUAAGUUUUGGUGAAUGGAAUAUAAGUGGAAUUGUGUGGCAGCUUCUAGAAACUUUUCUUAAGUCAGCUGGCAUAUGCCUUUUGCCCCUUUCUUCUGUAUGCUGACCUGCUUCUUGGAUCACAGGUGUGAUAGAUGGAGUGAGAACGGGAUUUCUCAACCUCCACACCGUUCCCAUUUUGGGCUUAGAUAAUUCCUUGUUGCCAGGGGUUGUAGGACAUUUAGCAGCACCCCUGGCCUCUACUUUUUUGAUGCCAUUGCACCUCGUCCCCAUUAUGACAAUAAAAAUGUCUCCAGACAUUGUCAACUGUCCUUUAGGGGGGAAAUUAUCCCUGAUGAAGAGCCACUGAUCCAGAACCAUCUUAGACUGGGAGGUCCUCUUGGGAAAGAGGGAAAAAGCCUGGGUCCUCAACUACUUGGUGGGGCACCAGCCACAGACAGCCUGCCUCCAGAUUUUCCAAAUAGGAGAAAGAAAUUACCCACUAUUACUUUGAGUCUAUGCUAGUUGCAGUCAUACUUAAUUCUAAUUGGUUAAAUUGUCUGUAUUUUGAAAUACAAAAUAAAGCUCAAUAGAAUUUAUUCGGCAGCCAUAACAAAUGAAAUCAUGUCCUUUGCAGCAAUAUGGAUGGAAUUGGAGGGCAGUAUCCUUAGUGAACUAACUCAGGAAAUCAAAUACCACGUGUUUUCACUCAUAAGUGGGAGAUAAACAAUGGGUAAACAUGAACACAAAGAUAGAAAUAAUAGACAGUGGGGACUCCUGAAGGGGGGAGGUUGGGAGGAGGGCGAGGGUUGAAAAAUUACCCAUUGAGUACAAUGUUCACUAUUUGGGUAAAGGGUACAGUAGAAGCCCAAUCCCCACAAAUACAAAAUAUACUCAUGUAACAAACAUGCACAUGUACCCCC
rnacentral:lncRNA from 10 species